GAGUAAUAUUGGUUCUGCUACCAGCAUGGAACCUGGCAGAUAACAGGAACUUAAUAAAUGUUUGUUGGUUGACUGAUUUUUGUGACUCCUGGUGGUUCUAUCACAUGGAUGAAAACAAGAGCAGUCAGGGAGUGAUUAAGUAUCAAAGAACAUGGUCCACAAACAGAAGAUGAUGAACGGUAUACAAAACUGAGACGUUACCUUCAACAGUCUUUCCACUAGACACAGUCAUACCACCAGAACAGCAGCU